rnacentral:rRNA from 2 species
UUAAGCGACUAAGCGUACACGGUGGAUGCCCUGGCAGUCAGAGGCGAUGAAGGACGUGCUAAUCUGCGAUAAGCGUCGGUGAGGUGAUAUGAACCGUUAUAACCGGCGAUUUCCGAAUGGGGAAACCCAGUGUGUUUCGACACACUAUCAUUAACUGAAUCCAUAGGUUAAUGAGGCGAACCGGGGGAACUGAAACAUCUAAGUACCCCGAGGAAAAGAAAUCAACCGAGAUUCCCCCAGUAGCGGCGAGCGAACGGGGAGGAGCCCAGAGCCUGAAUCAGUGUGUGUGUUAGUGGAAGCGUCUGGAAAGGCGCGCGAUACAGGGUGACAGCCCCGUACACAAAAAUGCACAUAUUGUGAGCUCGAUGAGUAGGGCGGGACACGUGGUAUCCUGUCUGAAUAUGGGGGGACCAUCCUCCAAGGCUAAAUACUCCUGACUGACCGAUAGUGAACCAGUACCGUGAGGGAAAGGCGAAAAGAACCCCGGCGAGGGGAGUGAAAAAGAACCUGAAACCGUGUACGUACAAGCAGUGGGAGCCUCUUAAUGGGGUGACUGCGUACCUUUUGUAUAAUGGGUCAGCGACUUAUAUUCUGUAGCAAGGUUAACCGAAUAGGGGAGCCGAAGGGAAACCGAGUCUUAACUGGGCGUUAAGUUGCAGGGUAUAGACCCGAAACCCGGUGAUCUAGCCAUGGGCAGGUUGAAGGUUGGGUAACACUAACUGGAGGACCGAACCGACUAAUGUUGAAAAAUUAGCGGAUGACUUGUGGCUGGGGGUGAAAGGCCAAUCAAACCGGGAGAUAGCUGGUUCUCCCCGAAAGCUAUUUAGGUAGCGCCUCGUGAAUUCAUCUCCGGGGGUAGAGCACUGUUUCGGCAAGGGGGUCAUCCCGACUUACCAACCCGAUGCAAACUGCGAAUACCGGAGAAUGUUAUCACGGGAGACACACGGCGGGUGCUAACGUCCGUCGUGAAGAGGGAAACAACCCAGACCGCCAGCUAAGGUCCCAAAGUCAUGGUUAAGUGGGAAACGAUGUGGGAAGGCCCAGACAGCCAGGAUGUUGGCUUAGAAGCAGCCAUCAUUUAAAGAAAGCGUAAUAGCUCACUGGUCGAGUCGGCCUGCGCGGAAGAUGUAACGGGGCUAAACCAUGCACCGAAGCUGCGGCAGCGACACUAUGUGUUGUUGGGUAGGGGAGCGUUCUGUAAGCCUGUGAAGGUGUACUGUGAGGUAUGCUGGAGGUAUCAGAAGUGCGAAUGCUGACAUAAGUAACGAUAAAGCGGGUGAAAAGCCCGCUCGCCGGAAGACCAAGGGUUCCUGUCCAACGUUAAUCGGGGCAGGGUGAGUCGACCCCUAAGGCGAGGCCGAAAGGCGUAGUCGAUGGGAAACAGGUUAAUAUUCCUGUACUUGGUGUUACUGCGAAGGGGGGACGGAGAAGGCUAUGUUGGCCGGGCGACGGUUGUCCCGGUUUAAGCGUGUAGGCUGGUUUUCCAGGCAAAUCCGGAAAAUCAAGGCUGAGGCGUGAUGACGAGGCACUACGGUGCUGAAGCGACAAAUGCCCUGCUUCCAGGAAAAGCCUCUAAGCAUCAGGUAACAUCAAAUCGUACCCCAAACCGACACAGGUGGUCAGGUAGAGAAUACCAAGGCGCUUGAGAGAACUCGGGUGAAGGAACUAGGCAAAAUGGUGCCGUAACUUCGGGAGAAGGCACGCUGAUAUGUAGGUGAAGCGACUUGCUCGUGGAGCUGAAAUCAGUCGAAGAUACCAGCUGGCUGCAACUGUUUAUUAAAAACACAGCACUGUGCAAACACGAAAGUGGACGUAUACGGUGUGACGCCUGCCCGGUGCCGGAAGGUUAAUUGAUGGGGUUAGCGGUAACGCGAAGCUCUUGAUCGAAGCCCCGGUAAACGGCGGCCGUAACUAUAACGGUCCUAAGGUAGCGAAAUUCCUUGUCGGGUAAGUUCCGACCUGCACGAAUGGCGUAAUGAUGGCCAGGCUGUCUCCACCCGAGACUCAGUGAAAUUGAACUCGCUGUGAAGAUGCAGUGUACCCGCGGCAAGACGGAAAGACCCCGUGAACCUUUACUAUAGCUUGACACUGAACAUUGAGCCUUGAUGUGUAGGAUAGGUGGGAGGCUUUGAAGUGUGGACGCCAGUCUGCAUGGAGCCGACCUUGAAAUACCACCCUUUAAUGUUUGAUGUUCUAACGUGGGCCCCUUACCGGGGUUGCGGACAGUGUCUGGUGGGUAGUUUGACUGGGGCGGUCUCCUCCUAAAGAGUAACGGAGGAGCACGAAGGUUGGCUAAUCCUGGUCGGACAUCAGGAGGUUAGUGCAAUGGCAUAAGCCAGCUUGACUGCGAGCGUGACGGCGCGAGCAGGUGCGAAAGCAGGUCAUAGUGAUCCGGUGGUUCUGAAUGGAAGGGCCAUCGCUCAACGGAUAAAAGGUACUCCGGGGAUAACAGGCUGAUACCGCCCAAGAGUUCAUAUCGACGGCGGUGUUUGGCACCUCGAUGUCGGCUCAUCACAUCCUGGGGCUGAAGUAGGUCCCAAGGGUAUGGCUGUUCGCCAUUUAAAGUGGUACGCGAGCUGGGUUUAGAACGUCGUGAGACAGUUCGGUCCCUAUCUGCCGUGGGCGCUGGAGAACUGAGGGGAGCUGCUCCUAGUACGAGAGGACCGGAGUGGACGCAUCACUGGUGUUCGGGUUGUCAUGCCAAUGGCACUGCCCGGUAGCUAAAUGCGGAAGAGAUAAGUGCUGAAAGCAUCUAAGCACGAAACUUGCCCCGAGAUGAGUUCUCCCUGACUCCUUGAGAGUCCUGAAGGAACGUUGAAGACGACGACGUUGAUAGGCCGGGUGUGUAAGCGCAGCGAUGCGUUGAGCUAACCGGUACUAAUGAACCGUGAGGCUUAACCUU